GGCUCAGUUGGAUCUGUUUUGGAUAGUACUUGGAUGAGAGAUCAUAAUGUAGUCCAGGAUGUCAAAACCCAUUUUCUUGGAGGGCCACAUGAGCCUUGUUGUUGCCUUCAAAGAUCUGGUGGAUCCAUGAAUAAGAGGGCCAACUACAAUUUUUUUACAUGCUGAACCGAAUACGGAGAGAAAUGCUCCCUGAAGUGUGGGAAAUAUGGCUACCUUGUCCCCUUUUUUCUCCACUAGACGGAAUUCUACUGGAAAAUCUCUCUUGAUCCACUUCUUACCUGCCGGGACCUUCAUGUUGCUGCUUCUCUGUUAGCAAGUAUGUCAACUGCACAGCUAAUUGCUCCUUUUCUUCAUGGAUUUUCUCUCGUGCUGCUCUUUCGGCAUGGAAAUCAGAACAGUACACUUCCAUCUGAGCAGGGAACAAAGCAGGAAUAGCAAUGGUGGGCAAAUGUGCAGAGUCCAGGGACCAUUGUGUGGCAACACUUCCUAUCACCCUGCACCACUGAAUGUACUGAAACGAGCAUGCGAGCCUUCACCAAACCCUUCCCUGAAUUCAUAUCAAUCUCUUUUGACGGGUGUCUGUACCUGAGCUCGUAGGACAGCCACGGUCUCAAGUUCUUCUUCCUGCUUGGCGAUGGUUUGCUUCAUUUCAUCUAUUUGUGAC